rnacentral:piRNA from 1 species
UGCUCUUCUUGAAGAAUUGGAUGCAGGAUGC